UAGCGAAGUUACAUUUCUAAGUGCGCUUGCGCGAAGGAGGGGACGACUCCGUGCGAGCCGGCAGCUGCUACUAGGCGCAUGCGCGCGUCUGCACCGCACCUGGCCCGGGCUGGGGUUGCCGGUGGGAGGACCCUGCUUGGAGCUUCUUUCCCCGCGUGAUACGCAUCCCUCAAACCUGCAACCCAAACGUUGGAAGGAAUUUACCCACGCACCCUGCAGACAGCCACCUGAGUCCAGGGUGUCAAGAUAAUUCACUGCUAAAAAGGGAUGAAGAAAACUAUGAACUUCAUACUCCUCCUGUUCUGAAUACGAUCUUCUCAGGAUCCAAAAGAAACUUCAGGAAGAAAAUAUUAAAUUUAAGCUCAAACUAGAAGAUUUAAGAAGGUGGGGAGGAAGAAAGCUCCAUCCCAGAGAAACAAAUGUGGUCAGCACUCUACAGAUGGGAGCACCAGUCACCCUGUCACCUAAAUUGUUGGACAAAUAGUAAAAAAAAAAAAA